rnacentral:rRNA from 1 species
AAACUUACCUACCCUUGACAUGGUCGGAAUCCUGAAGAGAUUCGGGAGUGCUCGAAAGAGAACCGGCGCACAGGUGCUGCAUGGCUGUCGUCAGCUCGUGUCGUGAGAUGUUGGGUUAAGUCCCGCAACGAGCGCAACCCUUGUCCUUAGUUGCUACGCAAGAGCACUCUAAGGAGACUGCCGGUGACAAACCGGAGGAAGGUGGGGAUGACGUCAAGUCCUCAUGGCCCUUAUGGGUAGGGCUUCACACGUCAUACAAUGGUCGGAACAGAGGGUUGCCAACCCGCGAGGGGGAGCUAAUCCCAGAAAACCGAUCGUAGUCCGGAUUGCACUCUGCAACUCGAGUGCAUGAAGCUGGAAUCGCUAGUAAUCGCGGAUCAGCA